CCACGCCCGUACCCUGGCGUGACGCUCAGGGGUGGCAGGACCCGCUCCCCCAGCCCAGCUGCUGGCCUAUGAGAGUAGGGAGUUUGAUGACAUCCUCCAGUGGGACUUCACUGAGGACUUCUUCAACCUGACGCUCAAGGAGCUGCACCUGCAGCGCUGGGUGGUGGCUGCCUGCCCCCAGGCCCAUUUCAUGCUAAAGGGAGAUGACGAUGUCUUUGUCCACGUCCCCAACGUGUUAGAGUUCCUGGAUGGCUGGGACCCGGCCCAGGACCUCCUGGUGGGAGAUGUCAUCCGCCAAGCCCUGCCCAACAGGAACACUAAGGUCAAAUACUUCAUCCCACCCUCAAUGUACAAAGCCACCCACUACCCACCCUAUGCUGGUGGGGGAGGAUAUGUCAUGUCCCGAGCCACAGUGCGGCGCCUCCAGGCUAUCAUGGAAGAGGCUGA
rnacentral:sRNA from 1 species